UAACUGAAGAGUUUGAUCAUGGCUCAGAUUGAACGCUGGCGGCAGGCUUAACACAUGCAAGUCGAGCGGGGGAAGGUAGCUUGCUACUGGACCUAGCGGCGGACGGGUGAGUAAUGCUUAGGAAUCUGCCUAUUAGUGGGGGACAACAUCUCGAAAGGGAUGCUAAUACCGCAUACGUCCUACGGGAGAAAGCAGGGGAUCUUCGGACCUUGCG
rnacentral:rRNA from 1 species